UACGUAGGUGGCAAGCGUUGUCCGGAAUUAUUGGGCGUAAAGCGCGCGCAGGCGGUCUUUUAAGUCUGAUGUGAAAGCCCACGGCUCAACCGUGGAGGGUCAUUGGAAACUGGGAAACUUGAGUGCAGAAGAGAAGAGUGGAAUUCCACGUGUAGCGGUGAAAUGCGUAGAGAUGUGGAGGAACACCAGUGGCGAAGGCGACUCUUUGGUCUGUAACUGACGCUGAGGCGCGAAAGCGUGGGGAGCAAACAGG
rnacentral:rRNA from 1 species